UUGUAAUUUGUAGAAGGUGCUUCGGGCGCGACGGCGGUCCAAGUUCCUUGGAAUCGGACGUCGAAGAGGGUGAGAAUCCCGUAUUUGGCCGAUCGUCAAGCCCACUGCGAAGCCCUUUCGACGAGUCGAGUUGUUUGGGAAUGCAGCUCCAAGCGGGUGGUAAAUUUCAUCUAAAGCUAAAUACCUGCCAGAGACCGAUAGCGCACAAGUAGAGUGAUCGAAAGAUGAAAAGCACUUUGAAAAGAGAGUCAAACAGCACGUGAAAUUGUUGAAGGGGAAGCGCUUGCAACCAGACUCGCACGCGGGGGCUCAGCCGUUCCUCGGGACGGUGCACUCCCCCGCGAUCGGGCCAGCAUCGGUUUCGGCGGCCGGACAAAGGCCCGGGGAAAGUAGCUCCCUCGCGGGAGUGUUAUAGCCCCGGGUGCAAUGCGGCCCGCCGGGACCGAGGACCGCGCUUUUGCUAGGAUGCUGGCGUAAUGGUUGCCAGCGACCCGUCUUGAAACACGGACCAAGGAGUCGACCGGCGACGCGAGUGUUCGGGCGUCAAACCCGGGCGCGCAAUGAAAGUGAACGGAGGUGGGAGCCCCCGGGCGCACCAUCGACCGAUCCUGAUGUCUUCGGAUGGAUUUGAGUACGAGCGCCGCCGGUCGGACCCGAAAGAUGGUGAGCUAUACGUGGAUAGGGUGAAGCCAGAGGAAACUCUGGUGGAGGCUCGCAGCGGUUCUGACGUGCAAAUCGAUCGUCAAAUCUGCGUAUAGGGGCGAAAGACUAAUCGAACCAUCUAGUAGCUGGUUCCUGUCGAAGUUUCCCUCAGGAUAGCAGCAACGAAAACAGUCUCAUGAGGUAGAGCGAACGAUUAGAGGCCUUGGGGCGGAAACCGCCUUAACCUAUUCUCGAACUUCGAAUAUGUGAGAAGUCCCUGUUACUCGAUUGAA
rnacentral:rRNA from 1 species